rnacentral:rRNA from 1 species
AUAGAACGCUGGCGGCGUGCCUAAUACAUGCAAGUCGAGCGAACAGACGAGGAGCUUGCUCCUCUGACGUUAGCGGCGGACGGGUGAGUAACACGUGGAUAACCUACCUAUAAGACUGGGAUAACUUCGGGAAACCGGAGCUAAUACCGGAUAACAUGUUGAACCGCAUGGUUCAACAGUGAAAGACGGUCUUGCUGUCACUUAUAGAUGGAUCCGCGCCGCAUUAGCUAGUUGGUAAGGUAACGGCUUACCAAGGCAACGAUGCGUAGCCGACCUGAGAGGGUGAUCGGCCACACUGGAACUGAGACACGGUCCAGUCUCCUACGGGAGGCAGCAGUAGGGAAUCUUCCGCAAUGGGCGAAAGCCUGACGGAGCAACGCCGCGUGAGUGAAGAAGGUCUUCGGAUCGUAAAACUCUGUUAUUAGGGAAGAACAAAUGUGUAAGUAACUAUGCACGUCUUGACGGUACCUAAUCAGAAAGCCACGGCUAACUACGUG